UACGGGGGGGGCAAGCGUUGUUCGGAAUUACUGGGCGUAAAGGGCUCGUAGGCGGCCAACUAAGUCAGACGUGAAAUCCCUCGGCUUAACCGGGGAACUGCGUCUGAUACUGGAUGGCUUGAGUUCGGGAGAGGGAUGCGGAAUUCCUGGUGUAGCGGUGAAAUGCGUAGAUAUCGAGGAGAACGAGCCGGUAGGUGGAGUC
rnacentral:rRNA from 1 species